GACGAACGCUGGCGGCGUGCUUAACACAUGCAAGUCGAACGGCAAGGCCCUGCUUUUGUGGGGUUCUCGAGUGGCGAACGGGUGAGUAACACGUGAGUAACCUGCCCUUGACUUUGGGAUAACUUCAGGAAACUGGGGCUAAUACCGGAUAGGAGCUCCUGCUGCAUGGUGGGGGUUGGAACGUUUCGGCGGUUGGGGAUGGACUCGCGGCUUAUCAGCUUGUUGGUGGGGUAGUGGCUUACCAAGGCUUUGACGGGUAGCCGGCCUGAGAGGGUGACCGGCCACAUUGGGACUGAGAUACGGCCCAGACUGCUACGGGAGGCAGCAGUGGGGAAUAUUGCACAAUGGGCGGAAGCCUGAUGCAGAAACGCCGCGUGCGGGAUGACGGCCUUCGGGUUGUAAACCGCUUUCGCCUGUGACGAAGCGUGAGUGACGGUAAUGGAUAAAGAAGCACCGGCUAACUACGUG
rnacentral:rRNA from 1 species